CGGCUGAUGAUGGGAGCUAAGGUCCCGAAACACGUCCCGUUAUUUUAAAAAACAAUUUUUACGCAAUUUGCCACCCGUGGAAAAAGCGGCGUGCCCGGAGUCAAAGGAGCCUAAGUGUUAUUCGCCGACACGAUGCGGAUCAAGAAAUUGCACCGUCGUUUGCGGCACCGAGAAAAAGUCCUUGGUAUCAGUCAUCAGCGCCAGAACGAGAGAUCUGGCUAUCCCAGCCAUUGCAGCCCGUGCAGAAACCCGUAGGACUGGGAGGAAUAAUUGAAUCUGUUUUCGCUUGAAAACAUCUUGAAAUUGACACCGCAAGGAGGACCUUUCGAUAAUGCGUAAGAUCGACCGAAUAAUAUAAAAUAUAAUAUAAUAAUAUAAAACCUCAAACCUUCCGAAAAAUAUAAUUGUGCUUUCAGCCUCUUAGGCAUUCUCUUUUUCAUCAGUUCCGUUCGUUAUAAA